rnacentral:rRNA from 1 species
AUUGAACGCUGGCGGCAGGCCUAACACAUGCAAGUCGAGCGGAGCGGCGGACGGGUGAGUAAUGACUAGGAAUCUGCCUGGUAGUGGGGGAUAACGUCAGGAAACGGGCGCUAAUACAGCAUACUAUCAGAUGAGCCUAGGUCGGAUUAGCUAGUUGGUGGGGUAAAGGCCUACAAAGGCGACGAUCCGUAACUGGUCUGAGAGGAUGAUCAGUCACACUGGAACUGAGACACGGUCCAGACUCCUACGGGAGGAAGCAGUGGGGAAUAUUGGACAAUGGGCGAAAGCCUACCCCAGCCAUGCCGCGGGUGUGAAGAAGGUCUUCGGAUGGUAAAGCACUUUAAGUUGGGAGGCGUUACCAACAGAAUAAGCACCGGCUAACUUCGUGCCAGCAGCCGCGGUAAUUC